GACGAACGCUGGCGGCGUGCCUAAUACAUGCAAGUAGAACGCUGAAGAGAGGAGCUUGCUCUUCUUGGAUGAGUUGAGAACGGGUGAGUAACGCGUAGGUAACCUGCCUUGUAGCGGGGGAUAACUAUUGGAAACGAUAGCUAAUACCGCAUAACAAUAGGUGACACAUGUGGUUUAUUAGAAAGGGGCAAUUGCUCCACUACAAGAUGGACCUGCGUUGUAUUAGCUAGUAGGUGAGGUAACGGCUCACCUAGGCGACGAUACAUAGCCGACCUGAGAGGGUGAUCGGCCACACUGGGACUGAGACACGGCCCAGACUCCUACGGGAGGCGGCAGUAGGGAAUCUUCGGCAAUGGGGGCAGACCUGACCGAGCAACGCCGCGGGAGUGAAGAAGGUUUUCGGAUCGUAAAGCUCUGUUGUAAGUCAAGAACGAGUGUGAGAGUGGAAAGUUCACACUGUGACGGUAGCUUACCAGAAAGGGACGGCUAACUACGUG
rnacentral:rRNA from 1 species